GAUGAACGCUGGCGGCGUGCCUAAUACAUGCAAGUCGAGCGAACAGACGAGGAGCUUGCUCCUCUGACGUUAGCGGCGGACGGGUGAGUAACACGUGGAUAACCUACCUAUAAGACUGGGAUAACUUCGGGAAACCGGAGCUACUACCGGAUAAUAUAUUGAACCGCAUGGUUCAAUAGUGAAAGACGGUUUUGCUGUCACUUAUAGAUGGAUCCGCGCCGCAUUAGCUAGUUGGUAAGGUAACGGCUUACCAAGGCAACGAUGCGUAGCCGACCUGAGAGGGUGAUCGGCCACACUGGAACUGAGACACGGUCCAGACUCCUACGGGAGGCAGCAGUAGGGAAUCUUCCGCAAUGGGCGAAAGCCUGACGGAGCAACGCCGCGUGAGUGAUGAAGGUCUUCGGAUCGUAAAACUCUGUUAUUAGGAAAGAACAAAUGUGUAAGUAACUAUGCACGUCUUGACGGUACCUAAUCAGAAAGCCACGGCUAACUACGUG
rnacentral:rRNA from 1 species